rnacentral:rRNA from 1 species
AAACCUCCUUGUCAAAGCCUGAUCUCAUCACAUCUCAGAAGCUAAGCAGGGUAGGUCUGGUUAGGCCUUAGACGGGAGAUCGCUGGGAAUUCCAAGUG